rnacentral:misc_RNA from 1 species
GUUUCGGCCUCCCAGUCUAGCGUGGCACAAGUGGGCGUGUCGACGAUGACUCGAACAAGACCAUGUCCACACAUGAGCAGUCACGGAUUGGUGUGUCUCACAGGCUCCUUGCCUCUCGCAAUCAACCACCGAAGAGGCCAUCCUUCUUAGUCCUGUUCUCAUUCGUAUCUUUAGGUCAUCCUUUUUAGUCAUGUGCAUUGCAUGUGCCAUCUACCCAGCUCUGCAGAAAGUCAACGUACCCCAUGUGCCAGUUCGCCUCACCACCUCGAGCGGGGAGGCACAACCACAAUGUGGUCGUCGCGCGCACCUUAACGACACAACCCUUGGGCCCCGUGCUAGCUGGGCUCCAGAAGUAUCACAAGCUCUCGCGAAUGCAGCAGGCUUCAGGGACUUCGGCCCUCGGUCAUUAAGCCACCAUCGUCGAGACAACGGUCGAUCCACCGAUGGGCCCCCUCCGCUCCCUGCGGGCGGUCGGGUGCCUUAACAGCAUCGGCAUCGCAAAGGACGUGCUACCUGGUUG